GACGAACGCUGGCGGCGUGCUUAACACAUGCAAGUCGAACGGAAAGGCCCUGCUUUUGUGGGGUGCUCGAGUGGCGAACGGGUGAGUAACACGUGAGUAACCUGCCCUUGACUUUGGGAUAACUUCAGGAAACUGGGGCUAAUACCGGAUAGGAGCUCCUGCUGCAUGGUGGGGGUUGGAAAGUUUCGGCGGUUGGGGGUGGACUCGCGGCUUAUCAGCUUGUUGGUGGGGUAGUGGCUUACCAAGGCUUUGGCGGGUAGCCGGCCUAAGAGGGUGACCGGCCACAUUGGGACUGAGAUACGGCCCAGACUCCUACGGGAGGCAGCAGUGGGGAAUAUUGCACAAUGGGCGGAAGCCUGAUGCAGCAACGCCGCGUGCGGGAUGACGGCCUUCGGGUUGUAAACCGCUUUCGCCUGUGACGAAGCGUGAGUGACGGUAAUGGGUAAAGAAGCACCGGCUAACUACGUG
rnacentral:rRNA from 1 species